UAUAUCCAGGACAUCAGCACAUAGAACCAGUGAAAGGGUCCUCCCUCAUAGUGACGCAUGUCAUAGACUCAGAUUUAUACAAACAAAUGCUGAGCAAACCAUGAAGAGUCUCUGGUAUUUUCAACAAUAUCAUCACAGAGGAACUGUAUUGAUUUCCUUUAAAUCCAGCCAUUGCACCUGUGCACAGGUGUGAAGAGAAAGAUCAAUAAGUGAGACUUCUUUCCCAAGGGCCCUUCCCCUCCUCACCAGUUAAACCCAACAGCUGAGGAACUGUCAGCCUGUACUGAGCCUUUCUAUCAAAGAAAGGAUAGAAAGUUAUUAAAAACCUUCAGUGGUCCAAGAACCUGCUGCUCCCGGGUCCUCUCAUUUGAAGACACCCACCGCCUAAGGAUGAAGAGAAGCUCCUUCUUGCAGAUCUGAGGCUGAUUUCCCAACUCCCAGGAACACCCUACCCACAGCCUGUUCCCCAGACCCAGGAACUUUUCAAAUGUAGAGGAGCCUUUAGAAGGAAGCCUUGAGCAUGAGGACAGACCCCCCUCAUCCAACCACCACCUGACUCUGUGUGAACCUGGAACUGUUAGAAUGUCUGUGCUGUGAUAAAAGGUCAUCUCCCUACAAUGUUAUGAUACAGACCUCAAACCUACAAACAUGAGGAACUUCUGCCUCCAGGUUAACUGCUUACCCACUGUACAAGACACGUUACACACAGUCCAGGAGGCGGAGCUUCUGAGAUAUCUAGAAACAGCUUAGAGGCAAAAUGACAAAAUAAAGCAGCAACAACAAAUAAAACCAAUCUUCUCGAA
ensembl:lncRNA LINC01255 long intergenic non-protein coding RNA 1255